GGAGGACCGUGCUGCCCGUCGAGAGCGUUCGUGUGCCGGAACGCUUCCCCGCGCGUGUUUUGGGCAGGUUUGGGCUGCCUCUGUGGCAGGGUAAAAGCAGCGUGUGGAAGGGGUGAUAGGUUAAACACCCUGCAGCACGCGCAGCCCUCAAGUGGAGGCACCGUGGUAGGAACAGGGACGCUGCCAGCGCCGGGGCUGCGGGUGCAAGGGGCACCUUGAGGCUGCGAGCCGUAAGAGACAGCUCACAAAAGACGUCGAGGACUCACGCUGGCAUUCCUCCGCCUGUUAUAAACGAGCCGAAAGCGAAGCAGUGAAAAAUGUCACAAAAUAAGCAGCACUAAAAGAAGAUAGAAAAUUAUGAAUAUUGAAGAAACAUUUAUGUUAAGCAAUACUGGAGAGAAGAGACUGUAAGGGAAUGAAUGACUUAACCCCAGUCUGCAUUGUACAAGUCAGAGCACCAAGUCACUGCAACAAAGAGUGGGGGAAAAACCCCAAACCAACUAAAAAAACUUAUUAUGUAUCCACAGACUGAUGUAAGACUAAUUUAAAUACAACAGAGAAGUUUCAUGCAGUCCCCUGUACAAAGACACUGCUGUGCUGUCCACACCUACUUCAGAUAGGAACAGAUUUUUGAGAAGAGUCAAGGAGUUCACUCAAACUAAGGAAGGGUAGAUGUUUGCCAAGAAUUAAUUUCACUUGCAUGAAGAUUCACAUCAUAAGUCAAACCCAUCUUCAGAUUUUUGGCCAAAGUGAUUGAAGUUUGAGAAGUUAACAAGGUUUUUAAGGGACAGCCUGAGAUAAUCCCAGAAGUCAUGCUACAAUCUAGGUACAGGUCCAGUCCCAAGGAUAGAAGAUCUGCACAUUGGAGAAGAGAACAAUAGCUCAUGGUUUCAACUGGGAGCUCAGUCUGCACUCAGAAACUACUCCAUGAUGUGAACCAAGUCAGUAAAUUAGGAUAAUCCAGAGAUUUGCUUCAAACCUGCCCCUUGAUCCAAACAAAAAUGCUAAACCAGAUGCAUCUGAAGCAAGUAAGUGUUAAAUGUACAUUGCUGUCUUUAGAUCACCUGUGCCUGACUGGCCUCACAAGGAAAGACCUAUACCCACAUUUUCCUCAUGUCAAAGAAAGCUGGUUUCUUGUGAAAAAAGUCAAGCCAGUAAUUCCCAGCAAUAUUUCUGACAGCUUCUACACUGAUUUAAAGUAGUAGUAUAUGCAAACAGGAAGCAGAUACCCUGUAAAGUCUUCCUUUUUAAACUGAAGCUAAAAUUAUAUGCAGGGUGGUCUAGUCCUUGAUACCACUUCCAAGCACAGGGUUACAUUAAUUUGAAAACUGCUAAAAACAUUUAUGUUUAGUUUGUUUUCAUGUAUGCAAAGUUGGCCCCUCUCUCUCAAUUCAUUAGGAAAAGUCACCUCAAAAAAAAAAAAACUAAACAAAACAAUCUGAUUAUGAUCACAAUGUAAUCCUCAAAAUAACUUAAAUUCCUCUGGUAUUAAUUGAAUAGGAUUUUAAGAAGAUUAAGAAUAUUUUCCAUCAGGGAUGAAGUGUAUUUAAUUUAUUGCAAAAUCGCAUGUACCUUAAUGUCAUGUUAGAAGGAUGUGGGGAAAAAAAAGCCUAAUGACUAAUCUAAGUAAGCUUAUUUUCCUGAAAUUUGCCACUGUAGGAGUAUAACAUGCAUAAAUUAUUAACCACUGUUUAUCUGUGUCUUUUCUGAGUGGGGUUCAAUCAGCUGUUGGUUAAAAUCUACACACUAUCCUAACUUCCACUGUAUCUUACAUCAGGAUUAGCACAACUGAAGCAUUCUGCAAACACAAGGCCAGGAGUGUUUUACUCCCAAAUACACAGAUUCACAGACUAAUCAAUAAUAAAAUGUGCUGGGCAAACUUAGAGUCACAUGUUUACUUUGUGGUUUGGAAGACUCCUCUAAUUCUAACCAGUUACCUUCUCUUCAUCUCAUCUUAGAUGCACAGUCAGACUUGGUAGCAAGGUUUGGGAGAUUCAGGUGAAUUAACUCUUCAGGCUAUGCAGAUGUCAAAAGGCAGCAGAGCAUUUCUUAUAUAUACUCUGCAAGUUUGAUGUUCAAAGAUGCCAAGAAAUGGUUUUAUGAGCAGAUAUUAUACACAAUGAAGCUCAGUGAGCCGUAUUUGAACACAGCACUCUUCAAAGUUUUGUGAUUUGAGGGAGGAUAGGAAAAAACUAAGGAGGAAUGGAAGAAUUAUGUCUCUUGUUUUGUAAAUCUCAAGGUCCAUAGUGUGGGCCAAAACUUAUACUGGAUUAUUUCCUAUCAGCCACUACAAAUAAAACAAAUGGAAUUUAAAUUACCUAUUUGUCCAGACACUUAAACCCCCUUGAUCUGAAUGGAGAGCAAAAGGUAAAAAAAAACAUUUCAGAGCUCACAGAUGGCCUGAGCCACUAUUCUACCAAAUAUAGGGAAAAAAGAGUGAAUUGCAAAUUGAGCAAAAUAAAAUAGAAACAAAGCAUAAAAAUCCUGUAAUCACUCACACAGAUAAGCAGUCUCAUAAAGCUAGAUUCUAACUGAAACAAUACAGAAAAAACUCUUCAAAUUCAGGGUUAAAUAGGAAAAGAUUAGCAAUCCAUUUUAAAAAUCAAUGCUUUGAGUUCUUGUUUUUCCUAUGUAACUAGUAAUUGUUUUUAAAUUAGGGGGACAGAGACAAGAGGAGAUGAGCAGGAGUGUUGUUAGGGCAACCAGAAACAAAGUAGGAGCUAGAGACAAAGGUUAGAGAGAAUGGUGGAAACAGAGGGAGUGAGAAGUCACAGCUCAUAGAGAAGAGAGAUGUGCCCAGCCCAAGAAAGGGAAUGUGGGAAAAAGGCCUGCAAAAUGAAAAUGUCACAUAAGAGAAAUACACCCAUUUGAAUAAAUGGAAAACUUACCAGAAAUUAGUAACUUCCUUCAGCAUUUUUCACAUAGCACUGACCAUAACUUUUACACAGAGGGACUUCUCAUGUGACCACCAUCAGUGCUUCUAAGCACUGUUAACUGCCUCAAGAGGUCUCCUCCAAGUCCUUGAACACCUAAGAGCUCUUGGGUUUUUCAAUUUGGGCUCAGGGUGUAGAGAAUCCAGUCACAAGCUCAUAAGAGAAAUUACUGUGUACAUCUUCACAAGAUACAUAUUUUUAUUUUUUCUUUUAAUACAAUUGUGUAUGCAACAGAGACAGAAGCCAAUCUUCUAGUAACAUCCUAAGAGACAUUUUUAUGAACUUCAGAGCAGGAAGUAAGUAAUCUUUCAUCAGGUACACCUUCUGACAAGGAUAUAUUAAUGCUUAUAUUUCCAUAAAAGGAUCUUAAAAGGCUGGUGGGAAAACUAUUAUUGUUAUCCAGAGAUAAAAAUAAUAGAAGCAAAAAAGGUAGCAGGUCCUUUCAAGGUCAGUGAAUCAGUGAAAAGGCAAUUUGUUGUAAGGCCCAUGUAUUUCUCAUAAAAUAUACUUGUCUUUUUCUGCCUGGAGAAUUCUUUUUCUCCUCCCAAUUAAUUUUUUCUCUCUAUUUUUCUCUCUUGCUUUUUCUUCAGUUUAUUUUUCCUCACUUAACCUCUUUCUCUGAUGCUAAAAAAAGGACAAAAGGCGAAAACCUACAGGAACCAGCAUAGUCAGACUCUUGUCUUUUACUGCCUUGUUACUGUCCAGCACUGCCUUUUAAUUUGUGGGAGAGAACAGCAGGGGAGAUCAUUUCAUUCUAUAUACAUUGCUGACAUGUGGAAUCAGAAAUACAGUCACACUUCUGACUUCCUUUGAGAGUGGCUCCCUCAACCAGGAAACAAUUCCCUUAAUGAAGCAGCCAUGCAGUACCAGGGCAGCCCAGCAGCCUUUGUUCUGAUAUUCAGAUCUUGUAUGCAUGGCAGUAUUUUUUACCAGCUCUAUUCCUAAUCUUGCUGCAUUUAUAGGUGUGUUGAAUUUUCAGGUUUUAAAGCAUCACAGUAAAAAAUAGCUCAAUCUUUCUCAUUUAUUUGCAGAAGUCCCAUUUUUGUCACAACUGUCUUAUUUUGAAUGUAAGUGUCCCAGAUUUGGGUUUCUUAACUAAAGGAGGAGGUAUAAUGUAGAAGAUACAACAAUUAAAACUAUGUAAAAUACA